GAUGUACGCUAGCUACAGGCUUAACACAUGCAAGUCGAGGGGCAGCGGGAUUGAAGCUUGCUUCAAUUGCCGGCGACCGGCGCACGGGUGAGUAACGCGUAUCCAACCUUCCGUACACUCAGGGAUAGCCUUUCGAAAGAAAGAUUAAUACCUGAUGGUAUGAUGAGAUUGCAUGAUAGCAUCAUUAAAGAUUUAUCGGUGUACGAUGGGGAUGCGUUCCAUUAGGUAGUAGGCGGGGUAACGGCCCACCUAGCCUACGAUGGAUAGGGGUUCUGAGAGGAAGGCCCCCCACAUUGGAACUGAGACACGGGUCCAAACUCCUACGGGAGGCAGCAGUGAGGAAUAUUGGGUCAAAUGGACGAGAGUCUGAACCAGCCAAGUAGCGUGAAGGAUGAAGGUCUUACGGAUU
rnacentral:rRNA from 1 species